UACUUGGAUAACUGUGGUAAUUCUAGAGCUAAUACAUGCACCAAAGCCCUGACCUUACGGAAAGGGUGCAUUUAUUAGAACAAAACCAAGCGACUUCGGUCGUUUUUUGUUGACUCAGAAUAACUAAGCUGAUCGCAUGGUCUUGCACCGGCGACGUGUCUUUCAAGUAUCUGCCUUAUCAACUUUCGAUGGUAGUGUAUCUGACUACCAUGGUGGUGACGGGUAACGGAGGAUAAGGGUUUGACUCCGGAGAAGGGGCCUGAGAAAUGGCCACUACGUCUAAGGAUGGCAGCAGGCGCGCAAAUUACCCACUCUCAGAACGAGGAGGUAGUGACGAAAAAUAACGAGACCGUUCUCUACGAGGCCGGUCAUCGGAAUGGGUACAAUCUAAACCCUUUAACGAGUAUCUAUGAGAGGGCAAGUCUGGUGCCAGCAGCCGCGGUAAUUCCAGCUCUCAAAAUGCAUAGAAUUAUUGCUGCGGUUAAAAAGCUCGUAGUUGGAUCUGUGCUGAGGACCUGGUCCACCUUCGGGUGCGUACUAGGCUCCACGGCUUUUCUGCCGGUUUUCCCGUCAUGGCUUUCAUCGGCUGUGGCGGGUGGCUGGUGAUUUUACUUUGAACAAAUCAGAGUGCUUCAAACAGGCGUUUAGCUUGAAUGUUUUUGCAUGGAAUAAUAGAAGAGGAUUUCGGUUCUAUUUUAUUGGUUUUAUAGACUGAAAUAAUGGUUAACAGAGACCAACGGGGGCAUUCGUACCGCUGCGUGAGAGGUGAAAUUCUUGGACCGCAGCGAGACRAACUACAGCGAAAGCAUUUGCCAAGAAUGUCUUCAUUAAUCAAGAACGAAAGUCAGAGGUUCGAAGGCGAUCAGAUACCGCCCUAGUUCUGACCGUAAACGAUGCCAACUAGCGAUCUGCCGACGGAUUUUUCGCCCUGGUGGGGAGCUUCCCGGAAACGAAAGUCUUCCGGUUCCGGGGGAAGUAUGGUUGCAAAGCUGAAACUUAAAGGAAUUGACGGAAGGGCACCACCAGGAGUGGAGCCUGCGGCUUAAUUUGACUCAACAC
rnacentral:rRNA from 1 species